rnacentral:sRNA from 1 species
UUGGCUAAGUCCGUUCGGCGG